UCACUGCAUGAUGCCUUCGCUGUGGUUCAGAUUACACUGCUGAAAACCAGGGGACAGAGUGCAGAUGCUCUCCAUCAGAUCAGCGCAGGAGGAAGCCGGACCUGCCGGGACUCCCACAGCCGCAGUUUGGAUGACAUCCGUCUUGGCUGGUGCCAGGGCCAACUCUAGCCCCCAAGCCCCACCCUGGCCUCCCCCGCCUCCCACAGCUACACCUUCGGCUGUGUUCCAGAGGGCAAAGCGCUCACCUCCAGCCCUGCCCACCAGCUGGCAGGGGGUGAGACCCAAGGGGACCUGUACAGGAGGAGGUCUGGCCACUGCAUGUCCCUGAGCCUCCUGGGGGAUGACCAGCUCCUGGAGGAAUUUGCCGUGUAGGUAGAGAGGUGCUGGGGCUACCUCCUACUCUGUGCUGGCGUCCCUCUUCCUUCCGCCUCCCUGCCCCAUGGGGAUCCCACCAGGGCCCAGACAGACCCUACCCCAUCUCUGGCCCGGUUACCUGCCUCCAGUCACUUUGGUGUGUGACACAGCCAGUGGGCCAUUCCAGGGAGUUUGGUGGCUGGGAGGUUCAUGUUCGGGUGUGGCCUGUCACACCUGAGUGGGAUGGAAGAACCCCAUUAUCCCAGACAUGCUUGACCACUGUCUGAGUUUCUGCAUCUUCUGUUGGGAUAACCAGCCAGUUUCCAGAUGCUAAACUGGAUAUGGGGAAGAAUCCCAGGAAUCCCUUCCAGCUGCACCUUUCAGGAAGGUGGUGCCGUGUGUUGGGGUGAUGAUGUGGGGGGGGGCAGAUUGGUGCUCGAUAUUGACCUCUCCCUCGCCCCCCCACCAAGAACUCUAGGUCUCAUCCUGCCUUUUUUGGAAGGGGGUGGAGUUGCCCAGUUACCCUUUUUAUGUGAUAUGCCCAGUUCUGCCAUUCUGGAACAGGGGGUCAUAGGGUCCCUUCCUAGCAGUAUAUCUUCAGAAUCUGGGGCUUGGGGGACCAGCUGAGAUGGCCCCUCGGUCCUGAGAGCAGAGGGGUCUCCGGGGAGGCACCAGAGUCCCUUCUGGGCAGAGGAGUUGGCUCUACUACCCUCCUUCCUCCAGCCUAUUGACUUCUCCUCCCUUUCAGGACCCAGUAUUCCCUUUCCCAGUUGUUCCUAGGGCUGCCCAGUUAUGGGGUUCCUUGUCUCGAACAUUGCUGGUGGGCCAGUGGGGGGGUACCCCCUCGCUUUUCCCCCCACCCCAGGAUGACCAUCCCUCUCCUCCACGCCCCAGCCCACUAGGGCUGCCGAGAAAGCCAGCGUAGUACGGAUGGGGCUGUGCUCUAGGACUCUCUGGUGUUGCAGAGAAGGAUGAGGAGGAAGGCUUCAGUCACUAUCCCCAUGGGAUUCCCAGGACACCUUGGAUGCAGAGGGGGAAGGGAUGGACUCCGUCCUUGUGGACAUCUGCCACUCCCUGCCCCAAGCAGCCAACUUUCUGCUCGCGAGGAUGUCCCAGUCCCACUGCAGAAAGUCUUGGCUCCUGCCCACGGUUACAAGCCCACACCUCAUCCUCAAUGACCAGCAGCGGGCAGGGGCAACGCUGCCCAGACCUUUCCCCCUUCUCCCACUCCCCUGGCCAUUCUAUAGGGAAUUAUUUGAGCACCUCCUCCUCCCCUGAGAAGAGCCCACGGACCCCAAGCAGACCACCUUGCUUGCCAAAAUGGCCCCCAGCCCCCAGACCACCCUCACAAUCUUCCUAGAUCAGGCCAGAAGGGUGGACAAGGCCAGCUACCACCCUGAUAUUCGAUCUCCAUCCCCUUGGGAAACAGUGGUCCAGGCUGGGGCUCCAGUGGUCCACGGCCUCUCCCUCAACCGCCAGUCGAAAUGUCACGUGCCCCCAGAGCCUGAAGCUACUGGUAACAGCUUCGGUCAAACCUUGGCUUCGGUCAAAGG